rnacentral:lncRNA from 1 species
GGCUGUGCGUCCCCCGCCACGCAGUCCUCAGUGGAGAUGGUGAGUGACCCCUCCACAGCGCUGGCCCCUCGCCCUGACGUGCCGCCCGCCCGCCCCUCUCUCUCGGGAGCUUCCGGAGAACAGAUUUGCCUUUGCAAACAAUCUAGCGAGUCUGUAACAUGAUCGUCCACGCUCUGACCUGAGAUUACUGUUCUACCACUUGAUGUUCCUGUUUUUACUCAAGAACUGCACGCUGUGAGUACGACGGAAGCAACGACGACGUCUCCCCGGAGGAGCAGAGAGGGGCCAGGUAAGCGGGCGGGCCGGGGCAGGCCCGCUGCGCGGUGGGCAGGGCGUCCCUCUCUGCCGCGGAGCUGGGUGCCCGUGGACAGAGCCCGCAUGUGAGUGGGCAGCUCUGGCCAGGUGCCAACGAGCAGGACGGCGUUCCGGGCGCGUCGGGCUGCUGGGCCUGCCUGCCGUCUCUCCCCAGGGGCCCCCGGGAUCGCGCUCCCCGUCGUCUCGGGUGUGAUCGUCCUGCUCGCUGCCUACCUCGUCUACAAAUACGCCCGGUGCGGUUGGUCCCGGAGCGCGGAGCGGCUGGGGGUGGCGGAGCCAGACACCGCUCAUCGCCCUCCUCGCCUCUUCUGUAAACCAGGAGCAGCUCCUGACGACACGCCCCAAAGUCAGAUCGACCGGGGAAGAUACCAUGUCUUCCACUCAGGACAUCGAGACAGCCGUGCCCCUGCAACCGCAGACACUCGGAAAGGAGGACCCCGGGACGGCUUCCGGAAGGGGCCUGAACGCGGGGUGCGUCUGCAGCUGGGAGGAGCUGCCCCUCUGCUCGGUGAGUGUCCCCCACGCCCCUCUCUCUCCACCCUGUUCCUCUAGUUUUGCCGGCCUGCUGUCACCCACUCCUUCCUUCCUCUGCAUUUCGGGCCAAGCCCUUUCUGGCCAGGAAACCCCAGCCCGCGACUUCUGCUGUCCUCGGAUUCCGCCUGGCCCUGGGCUGGGAAAGCUAAGGGCAGAGCUGUCCAGACGGCGGGGCCAGCAUGGCACCGGGACCUCCUGCCACUGCUGGCCUCGGGCGGGUGUCUUCCCGCCCGGUCCUCAUUUCUGCAUCCCACGAUGGGCAUCACACACUGCAGUCCCGGUGCUGUCAAGAAGCGGGUACGGGGCCUGCUGGAGACCCCACCCCAAUAUGCAGGACGCAGCAAGUCCCGCGGGGACUCAGGGAGCAGUCACUGAAGUUACACUUUUGUCCUCUGUGAUUCUGUGUUUUAAAAUUAUGGUAAAAUUCAUAUAGGGAAAAUCACCUGUGUGUGUGUGUGUGAGAGAGAGAGAGAGAGAGAGAGAAAGAAAGACAGGGCCUCGCUGUGUAGCCCAGGCUGGACUUGAACUCACCCCAAUCCUCCUGCCUCAGCCUCAAGUGCUGGGGCGAUGGGCGUGCGCCCCACAGUGGGCUGAGAAAUCACCGGCUUAGUGCGCUGCUCAGAGCACUCCCCGCUCUGCUCUGUAGUCCCAGAAUGUUGUCACCCCAAACGGACGGACACGGCCUUUCUUCACUCCCCUUACCCCUCCCAGCCCAGCCCUCCGAGCUGUCACUGAGCACGUGGACAGCUGUCCAUGCGGAUUAUCCGUCACCACUUUACAAGUCAUCGCAAACGGGAGGCGGACGCUGGGUCUGGACCUCGGUCUCGCACGCCUGUAAUCCCAGGAGGAUCCCUUUUUUUUUUUUUCUGUCUGUCUGUCUGAGACAGGGUCCCACUGUGCAGUUCAGGCUGGCCUUGAGCUCACUUUGUAGCCCAGGCUGGUCUCGAACUCACAGCGAUCCAGGAGCAUCACUUCACCGAGGGUUCCAGGCAGGCCUGGGCUGCAGAGAGUGAGACCCUGUCUCAAAGAACAAAGACAAAAAUAAAGUAAAAUGAUAUAAAGCGAGAGGUGUCAUUUAC